AUUGAACGCUGGCGGUAUGCUUAACACAUGCAAGUCGAACGGUAACAUUGGAGCUUGCUCCAGAUGACGAGUGGCGGACGGGUGAGUAACACGUAGAAAUCUACCGAGUAGUGGGGGAUAGCCAGAAGAAAUUCUGAUUAAUACCGCAUGUGCACUAUGGUGUAAAGGAGGCCUCUAUUUAUAUGCUUUCGCUAUUUGAUGAGUCUGCGUCAGAUUAGCUUGUUGGUGGGGUAAUGGCCUACCAAGGCGACGAUCUGUAGCUGGUCUGAGAGGAUGAUCAGCCACACUGGGACUGAGACACGGCCCAGACUCCUACGGGAGGCAGCAGUGGGGAAUAUUGGACAAUGGGGGCAACCCUGAUCCAGCAAUACCGCGUGUGUGAAGAAGGCCUUCGGGUUGUAAAGCACUUUCAAUAGGGAGGAAAAGCUAGUAGUUAAUACCUGCUAGCCGUGACGUUACCUAUAGAAGAAGCACCGGCUAACUCCG
rnacentral:rRNA from 1 species